UUAAGACGUGUUCUCUUCCGAUCAUGAGCAAAGACGUGUCGAAGUGAAAGUUCCUGGGAUUAUUGAACGUAAAUCUGUGCACGAGCCUAUGCAAACAGGGUUA